AGGACGAACGCUGGCGGUCGUGCUUAACACAUGCAAGUCGAACGGGGUGUGCCGGGGUAGUAAUACCUUGUACAUCUAGUGGCGAACGGGUGACGUAACACGUGAGUAACCUACCCCGAAGUCUGGAAUAACACCGGGAAACCGAUGCUAAUACCAGAUUGCCCUCCUCUGGAUACGCGAUGAUCGGUUGAGGAAAGUUUUUCGCUUCGGGAGGGGCUCGCGGCCUAUCAGCUUGGUUGGUGAGGUAACGGCUUCACCCAAGGCUUCGACGGGUAGCUGGU
rnacentral:rRNA from 1 species